rnacentral:rRNA from 1 species
UACGUGGGGUGCAAGCGUUGUUCGGAAUUACUGGGCGUAAAGCGUGUGAAGGCGGCUCGCUAAGUCUAAUGUGAAAUCCCUGGGCUUAACCCAGGAACUGCAUCGGAAACUGGUGAGCUAGAGUCUAGGAGAGGGUCGUGGAAUUCCUGGUGUAGAGGUGAAAUUCGUAGAUAUCAGGAGGAACACCGGUGGCGAAGGCGGCGACCUGGACUAGUACUGACGCUAAUACACGAAAGCGUGGGGAGCAAACAGG